rnacentral:lncRNA from 1 species
GAAACCAGUCACUCGUCCAGCAUAUAUUUAUUGAGUGUUUAUUAUGUGCCGGAUGCUGGAGUGACAAAAAAAUGAACAAGAUGUAGAUCCGGCCUUCAAGUGUAGCUGGUGAUUUUCCACAAAACCCUCUAUUAUUGUAUCUUAACAUCCAGGAGUCAGCCAGGAGUUACACUGAUCAUAAAUCGAUAACCUCAUUUCAAAGCUCAAACACAGAGAUGGCAAAUAAAGCCCUGGGCAGCACUGACUGAAGCAACAGAUGACUCAUUAAUAGCAGGAGGCAAUGAAUAACUUUGCCACUGAGAGUGAAAGAAAAUUCCCCCUUUGCACAAUGCCUUUCACUUAAAUAGCAUUUGGAUUUCUUAAAAUCCACAAAGUUUAUAUUAGAGCGUCAUCCAUUAAUGCUUUGGCUAGGAGGGGGUCUAUCGCCCUGGUUGGAGUGCAGCAGUGUAAUCAUAGCUCACUGCUGCCAUGAACUUCUGGGCUCAAGCGAUCCUCCCACCUCAGCCUCCCUGUGUGCUGGGAUUAAAAGUGUGAGCCACCGUGCCUCAUCGUAAGGGUCUUAAAAGAAACCCUAUUUCAUACUUUCUUGAUGCACUUGAUAUGGAUUAUAUAAAUCUAUGGACAAAAAUGACAUCAGUACAAUGGAAUAUUGGAGUUUUCUACCAUAAUCUCUGCAUAGUGCACUGAUUUUGACAAUCACCUAUGGAUGAAAAUACAUUUGCCAGAGUCUAGGAGUUAAAUGGAAAAGUUAACAGCACACCGUUGGAGAAAAAUAUCUGGGAGUAGAUGCAUUCAAGGGAGUAAGAAGAACAAUUACCUGCAUCACCUCACCCCCAGGGUCCACUUCUUAGUGCCAAGAUAGACUCCCUUCAGCAGGCAAUUUCUCCCAUGGGGAAAAGGAGAGUAUAAUGAGUGAGUAUCCAGCUUUUCCAGCUGUGUGAGGCACAUCCCAAGAAGCCCAUCUUUCUUUCACUCAACUCAGAAUAUUGAGGGUAUUAGCAUGGCUAAGUGGCUGGGACAGGGCAGUAGCAGGAAAGAAAGGAGAGGACUCACAGCAACCAGGACUUGAAACUCAGUACAGGGUACAUAUCCUUUGAAGCAUUUCACAGAGCCCAUCAGGAGGCCCACCCAUGAACCACUUGGGACACCAUAUCUGUAGCAUCUCCCUGCAACUGGCCCAUAGGAGCCCCCGAUGUUUUGUGCAUAUUCCCCUUCCCUUUCUCCUAUAGUCAGUUGCCUGCACAUGCACUCCAGAUGGUGAGUGUGAGCAUUUACCUACAGCUUUUGAGUACAUGCAGUCAGCAGGCUCAACUUUGAAGGAUUGGGAGGAAUACAAAAUUGAGCAUUUCAGGGCACUGUCCUAGAGGAAACAAACAGAAAGCUUUCAGGACCCAGUUUGGUUUUGUGGAUUUAAGAGAAGACACACAAUCAUCAGAAUUUCUUCUCCACCCAUCCAAGAAGUGUGGAUUGGGUGAAUCCAUAGAAAAGAUCUGAGAGAGCCUCAGAUUCCCUAUAGGCUCACUGUUGAAGAUAUUUCUCUCAAAUCCAGUCAGUAAAGACUAGAGAAAGUGACUCUUUCUUCAAAUGUGAAGACAGCAGUGCAAGACUUUGAGGAACAUGAAAAAUCAAGGACACCUAGUACCACCAAAGGAACAUAAUUUUCUGGUACCCAACCACAAAGAAAUGGAGAUACACAAAUUGUCUGACAAAGAAUUCACAACAAUUGUUUUAAGGAAGUCAGUAAGCUACAAGAGAACACAGAGAACUUAAUGAUAUUAAGAAAGCGACACAUGAACAAAAUAAGAUGUUCAACAAAAAGAUAGAAAUUAUUAAAAACAACCAUGAUUUUCGAGCUGAGAAUACAAUGAAUGAAAUGGAAAACACAAUAGAGUUUCAAUAGCAGACUUGAUCAAGCAGAAGAAAGGGUCUGUCAACUCAAAUACUAGUCAUUUGAAAUUAUUCAGUAAAAGAAAUAAAAAGGAAUGAAAAAUGCUUAUGCGAUUGAUGCAACACCAUGAAGAGUAGUCAUAUAUGCACUAUGGGAGUCUCAGAAAAAGAAAGAGAUAAAGGGGAAGAAAACUAACUUAAAGAACUAGAUCAGUCUCUCCUUAUCUGUAGUUUUGCUUUCCUUGGUUUCAGGUACAGUACAAUGAUAUGUUUUAAGAGACAGACAAUGAAAGAGAACAUGCAAAUAUUGACAUAAUUUUUAUUACAGUAUAUUGUCAUAGUUUUUCUAUUUUGUUAUUAGUUGUUAUUCUCUUACUGUGCCUAAUUUAUACAUUAAACUUUAUCAUAGGAAUAGUGGUGGUGGCCUGUCUGGAGUGGCCACUGCCAGGAUGCCAGCUGCAGCAGGGGAGGUGUAGCUGGGGCUGUGCACUCCGCAGAGCUGGGGGGGGCCAGGAACAGGUGAUCCUAGUGGGAGCCCUAUAUGCUACUGAGUUAGUGGGGUGGGAGCCUGUGCUCCCAGGCAUAGCUGCAGCUGCCCAGCCAUGGCUCCAGCCCUAGGCAUACCUGUGCUCUCAGGGGCCCUGGAAGUCCCCUGCCCUUACAGGCUUGGAAGUGCCUGCUCCCAUUCCCUGGCCUCUUUCCACUGCUGGCACCUGCUCUGUGGCAGAGCAAAGUUGUGGAUGUGUUGUGAUAGCUGAGCCUGGGAGCUGUUGUGACGUGGUCAGGUGUGUGUGUUCAGGGCAGUUCUGAUACACCAGACUCCCCACUGCCUUUGCCCCCUCUGGAAACUGCUUCUGAGGCUGAAACUUUGGAUAUUAAUGAGCAAGGAUGGUGGGGGAGGCCAGGACGGCUGAGGGCAGCUAGGUGUGGGCCUGUGGACACCCCUUAGUGCGGACAGUCUGGGUGCUGUGGAUGGCAUGUUGAUGGCAGCGAGAGGCAGACAUGUUCCUAGGUGGGAACGGGUGGGUCCCUGGUGAAACCUCACCUUCAAGCCAGGGACAGCUUGAAGCAUGGGGGCCUGGCUGCCAGUUCCGGUUGCAGUCUGUGACCUGGAGUGAAAACUUCAUUGAUGUCUUUCAGCCAAUUGGAUGGUGCUUUUUCCAGACCCACAAAUGGCUGCCCAUGGACCAAGCAGUAUGUACUUCCUCCAUUCUGAGCCCAUGAAAACCCCAGACUCAGUCAGACUCUGACACUCAUCAGGAUGACAAGCCUGCAAAUAGGAUCUACCCAUUUUGGGUAUGCACUCCACUGAGAGCUAUUCUGUCACUCAAUAAAGCUCCUUUCUGCCUUGCUCACCCUCCAGUUAUUCACAUAACCUCAUUCUUCCUGGAUGUGGGACAAGAACUCAGGACCUGCUGAAUGGUGGGAGGGAAAGAAGCUGUAACAUGUUCCUGGCCAGCUCACCAAGCUGCAGGUGGUGACAUACUCCUGGACUAUGGGAGUGAAGAGUAGUGACCCUUCUGGGGGCCCAGACCUUGAGAUUCUCCGAGCCAGAGCUGCAGUAACACUAUAGCUCUCCUGCCCUCUGCUGGUGCUGGGUGGCCCCCCAAUGCAACAGGACGCAGCAGCAGGCCUGGGCCAGCCCAGGAGCUGGGAGCCUGAGUGGGGUGGUGGAACUGAAAGGGCUAUAACACAAACCAACCAAAACAUGCCCCACUCACUUGCUGCACUGUGGGUGAGGAGAAGGAGAAAAGAGCUGCAGCCCUUCUAGGAAGCCAGACUUUGGGGCUCCCUGAACUAGGGCUGUGACAUGCUGUAACACCUUCUUUAGGAUUCUGCACUUCCUGGCCUCUCUGAGAUUUUGGAUGCCACCGUGUUCCCUUUGUCCAGAUGCUGGUGUCCGCAGCAGAAGCCACUUGUGAUAUAUCUGGUCCAGCUGCAGCUUCACAUGGAUGAGGUGCCUGUGCCGGUGCCUGUGCCAGUGCCUGGAGCUGCCCGCCCCACCACAGCAGCUAGCAUGCCUGGCUGUGUGCAGUGCCAGAUCCCACACUUGCUCACUCACACACACCUCACCGCUCCAUGCCUGGCUUGCCCUUGGAAGGAGUACGAUCCAGGCCGGUAGCAUGAGCCAAGUGCAGCCUGCCAGCCUGAGUGGACAGAACAAGCCCAGGGGGCAUGAACAAAACUCAAGCAGAAGCACUGCUGUCCACAGAGGUUUCUGGCUGGCAAAGCAACACCCUAAGGAUCCUAUGACAAUAGGUUUGCUUUCCAUAUGCUGGAUGAUGUGUGUGGAUUUUCAGUGUGUGUUUCAGAGUCUUAAAAGCUCAUGCUAGCUUGCUUAACAUACCUGCCAUAACUCAUGAUAUAGAACCCUAUGGAGAACUGUGUUGCAACAUGGAUGCAGUGCCUAUACUAAGGCACAUUGCCAAGCUGAAGACUGUCAGAGAGCAUCACUAACGGAGGACCUAGUUGUCUCACCUGUGGUGGUGGAAAGAGCACCAAGCUUGGAACCAGAGGGCCCAGGUUCGGGUCACUGUCAUCAUGUGAGCAUGGGCAGGGCCACUGUCAUAAGGACGCCUGGAAGAGUGAAGAAAGGCCUGAUUGAUCACAAGGUCCUAUCAAAUGUCAAAGCUGGCCCUGGCUGACCUCCCAUCUAUUCAGAGCUGCUUUGAUUUAAUCUCCAAACUGGCUGCUUCUCCAGGCUGUGAGUUCUAUCUGCAACCCAUGUGUCAGCAUUGAGAUAUGACCUGCUUCACGCUCCAUUCAUCUCAUUUGAAGGACGGAAAUUAAACUCGAGGGUCGAAGAGGGGAACUGCUCAAAAUACACACACACAUUAACUGAAGCCUUUUGUAGAAGAGAAUUGAAAAUUUCAAGAAGGCAAAGGUGAUGGAAGUGUCUUCAUGAGACCCUUGGGUAACAUAAAUUGGCAAAGAAUUGGAUGAUCUGGGUUCUAAGAUCUGGCCUUAAAACUAGCCAUCUAUUGACUGAGUUCCCAUCAUUUCUACCGCUUUCAUCAGUUCUUGUGCAGCAGAAUGAGGUCCCAGCAGGGUUUUCUCUCAUUGCUGCCUCCACCCUCUGCCUUGUCAGAAGUCUGACCCAGACCUCCCUGGACUAAACUCAAGAUGUCAUCAGAGCCCUGUGAAAUAGGCUUUGCAGCUGGUAUUAUCUAUCUUGUACAGAUGAACGAACGAUUGCUUAGAGAUAGAAAACACUUCACCUGAGGUCACCAGGCUAAGUAAAUGGAUGAAGACUCUGGAGCUUAAAGAAAUAAUUUACAAUUCCAGUUAUAUAUUGCUGUGUAACAAACCACCCUGAACUUAGUGUAAAAAAGAACAAUUAGUUUGCUCAAAAAUGUACCAUUUGGGCAGUGUUUGGUAGGGACAGCCCACAUAUGCUCCAAGCAGUGUCAACUAGGAUGGAUGACUCAAAGAUCGGGGGAACGUGAUGGCUGGAAGCUAGAAUCAUCUGAAUGCUCACACACUCACAUGCCCGAUGGCUGAUACUGGCAUGUGAUCCUCAAGUGGGGCUCUUGGAUCAAAUGACUAUAUGCAACUUCUCAAUGGGUUGCUUGGUUUUCUCAGAUCAUGGCAGCUGGAUACCAAGAGUGAGCAUUCGAAGAGACAAGAAGUGAGUGAUACCAGUUUUUUAAAGCCUGGGUCUUGUAACCGGCAUAGUGUCAUUUGCAUAGCAUUCUAUUAGUCACAGAGCCCAGAUUCAAUAGGAGACAAAGACCCCACCACAUGAUGAGAGAAGCGUAAAAACACUUAGAGGCCAUGAUUUAGAAUUGGCCACACUUUGUAGCAUCAUGCAUCUUGAAGUAAAGAAUCUUGGACUCAAGACUUGGACUUUAUAACUUCAAAGUUCUGGUUUUUAAUCACUUUUCUAAAUUACCUUAAAAGUGAAUUUUGUAUUAGAAAAGGCAACAUUUAAAAUAGAGUUCUGUGAAUACUCAUAAAAACCAUACCUCCCAAAAUUCAGAUUAACAGAGUUCAGGUGAUAUUGGAGCUAGAGGUGACCUCGAUGUAUCCCACCUCUUUUCCUUCAUUCUAUACACCAGGAAGGGCAAGCACCAACUGGUCACAUGACGUGGUUGUGUUAGCCAGUUGCAGUGUUGGGACCAAAAGCCAAUACAUUUUCCACUGUGUCUCUGCUUGGAUGCACAUAUUACUUCCAUUUUCUACUUUGUAUAUAAGUAACUUUUUAAUCCAAAUAACUAACAUUUACCUGGAGAUUUACAAUAUCCAAAGUACUUU